GAUCAUGGCUCAGGACGAACGCUGGCGGCGUGCCUAAUACAUGCAAGUAGAACGCUGAGGAGAGGAGCUUGCUCUUCUUGGAUGAGUUGCGAACGGGUGAGUAACGCGUAGGUAACCUGCCUUGUAGCGGGGGAUAACUAUUGGAAACGAUAGCUAAUACCGCAUAACAAUGGAUGACACAUGUCAUUUAUUUGAAAGGGACAAUUGCUCCACUACAAGAUGG
rnacentral:rRNA from 1 species